UUAAGUUAGAAAGGGCGCACGGUGGAUGCCUUGACACUAGGAGUCGAUGAAGGACGGGACUAACGCCGAUAUGCUUCGGGGAGCUGUAAGUAAGCUUUGAUCCGAAGAUUUCCGAAUGGGGAAACCCACCAUACGUAAUGGUAUGGUAUCCUUAUCUGAAUACAUAGGGUAAGGAAGACAGACCCAGGGAACUGAAACAUCUAAGUACCUGGAGGAAGAGAAAGCAAAUGCGAUUUCCUGAGUAGCGGCGAGCGAAACGGAACAUAGCCCAAACCAAGAGGCUUGCCUCUUGGGGUUGUAGGACAUUCUAUACGGAGUUACAAAGGAACGAGGUAGACGAAGCGACCUGGAAAGGUCCGUCGUAGAGGGUAACAACCCCGUAGUCGAAACUUCGUUCUCUCUUGAAUGUAUCCUGAGUACGGCGGAACACGUGAAAUUCCGUCGGAAUCUGGGAGGACCAUCUCCCAAGGCUAAAUACUCCCUAGUGAUCGAUAGUGAACCAGUACCGUGAGGGAAAGGUGAAAAGCACCCCGGAAGGGGAGUGAAAGAGAUCCUGAAACCGUGUGCCUACAAAUAGUCAGAGCCCGUUAACGGGUGAUGGCGUGCCUUUUGUAGAAUGAACCGGCGAGUUACGAUCCCGUGCGAGGUUAAGCUGAAGAGGCGGAGCCGCAGCGAAAGCGAGUCUGAAUAGGGCGUUUAGUACGUGGUCGUAGACCCGAAACCAGGUGAUCUACCCAUGUCCAGGGUGAAGUUCAGGUAACACUGAAUGGAGGCCCGAACCCACGCACGUUGAAAAGUGCGGGGAUGAGGUGUGGGUAGCGGAGAAAUUCCAAUCGAACCUGGAGAUAGCUGGUUCUCCCCGAAAUAGCUUUAGGGCUAGCCUUAAGUGUAAGAGUCUUGGAGGUAGAGCACUGAUUGGACUAGGGGUCCUCAUCGGAUUACCGAAUUCAGUCAAACUCCGAAUGCCAAUGACUUAUCCUUAGGAGUCAGACUGCGAGUGAUAAGAUCCGUAGUCAAAAGGGAAACAGCCCAGACCGCCAGCUAAGGUCCCAAAGUGUGUAUUAAGUGGAAAAGGAUGUGGAGUUGCUUAGACAACUAGGAUGUUGGCUUAGAAGCAGCCACCAUUUAAAGAGUGCGUAAUAGCUCACUAGUCGAGUGACUCUGCGCCGAAAAUGUACCGGGGCUAAAUACACCACCGAAGCUGCGGAUUGAUACCAAUGGUAUCAGUGGUAGGGGAGCGUUCUAAGGACAGUGAAGUCAGACCGGAAGGACUGGUGGAGUGCUUAGAAGUGAGAAUGCCGGUAUGAGUAGCGAAAGACGGGUGAGAAUCCCGUCCACCGAAUGCCUAAGGUUUCCUGAGGAAGGCUCGUCCGCUCAGGGUUAGUCAGGACCUAAGCCGAGGCCGACAGGCGUAGGCGAUGGACAACAGGUUGAUAUUCCUGUACCACCUCUUUAUCGUUUGAGCAAUGGAGGGACGCAGAAGGAUAGAAGAAGCGUGCGAUUGGUUGUGCACGUCCAAGCAGUUAGGCUGAUAAGUAGGCAAAUCCGCUUAUCGUAAAGGCUGAGCUGUGAUGGGGAAGCUCCUUAUGGAGCGAAGUCUUUGAUUCCCCGCUGCCAAGAAAAGCUUCUAGCGAGAUAAAAGGUGCCUGUACCGCAAACCGACACAGGUAGGCGAGGAGAGAAUCCUAAGGUGUGCGAGAGAACUCUGGUUAAGGAACUCGGCAAAAUGACCCCGUAACUUCGGGAGAAGGGGUGCUUUCUUAACGGAAAGCCGCAGUGAAUAGGCCCAAGCGACUGUUUAGCAAAAACACAGCUCUCUGCGAAGCCGUAAGGCGAAGUAUAGGGGGUGACACCUGCCCGGUGCUGGAAGGUUAAGGAGAGGGGUUAGCGUAAGCGAAGCUCUGAACUGAAGCCCCAGUAAACGGCGGCCGUAACUAUAACGGUCCUAAGGUAGCGAAAUUCCUUGUCGGGUAAGUUCCGACCCGCACGAAAGGUGUAACGAUUUGGGCACUGUCUCAACCAGAGACUCGGUGAAAUUAUAGUACCUGUGAAGAUGCAGGUUACCCGCGACAGGACGGAAAGACCCCGUGGAGCUUUACUGUAGCCUGAUAUUGAAUUUUGGUACAGUUUGUACAGGAUAGGCGGGAGCCUUUGAAACCGGAGCGCUAGCUUCGGUGGAGGCGCUGGUGGGAUACCGCCCUGACUGUAUUGAAAUUCUAACCUACGGGUCUUAUCGACCCGGGAGACAGUGUCAGGUGGGCAGUUUGACUGGGGCGGUCGCCUCCUAAAGUGUAACGGAGGCGCCCAAAGGUUCCCUCAGAAUGGUUGGAAAUCAUUCGUAGAGUGCAAAGGCAUAAGGGAGCUUGACUGCGAGACCUACAAGUCGAGCAGGGACGAAAGUCGGGCUUAGUGAUCCGGUGGUUCCGCAUGGAAGGGCCAUCGCUCAACGGAUAAAAGCUACCCCGGGGAUAACAGGCUUAUCUCCCCCAAGAGUCCACAUCGACGGGGAGGUUUGGCACCUCGAUGUCGGCUCAUCGCAUCCUGGGGCUGUAGUCGGUCCCAAGGGUUGGGCUGUUCGCCCAUUAAAGCGGUACGCGAGCUGGGUUCAGAACGUCGUGAGACAGUUCGGUCCCUAUCCGUCGUGGGCGUAGGAAAUUUGAGAGGAGCUGUCCUUAGUACGAGAGGACCGGGAUGGACGCACCGCUGGUGUACCAGUUGUUCUGCCAAGGGCAUAGCUGGGUAGCUAUGUGCGGAAGGGAUAAGUGCUGAAAGCAUCUAAGCAUGAAGCCCCCCUCAAGAUGAGAUUUCCCAUAGCGUAAGCUAGUAAGAUCCCUGAAAGAUGAUCAGGUUGAUAGGUUCGAGGUGGAAGCAUGGUGACAUGUGGAGCUGACGAAUACUAAUAGAUCGAGGACUUAACCAU
rnacentral:rRNA from 4 species